rnacentral:rRNA from 1 species
UACGUAGGGCGCAAGCGUUGUCCGGAAUUAUUGGGCGUAAAGAGCUCGUAGGUGGCUGGUCGCGUCUGCCGUGAAAGCCCGCAGCUUAACUGCGGGUCUGCGGUGGAUACGGGUCGGCUAGAGGUAGGUAGGGGCAAGUGGAAUUCCUGGUGUAGCGGUGAAAUGCGCAGAUAUCAGGAGGAACACCGGUGGCGAAGGCGGCUUGCUGGGCCUUACCUGAUGCUGAGGAGCGAAAGCGUGGGGAGCGAACAGG